CGGUAAAACCAGCACCUCAAGUGGUCAGGAGGAUUAUUGGGCCUAAAGCAUCCGUAGCCGGCUUUGUUAGUUUUCGGUUAAAUCUAUAUGCUCAACAUAUAGGCUGCCGGGAAUACUGCAAAGCUAGGGAGUGGGAGAGGUAGACGGUACUCCGUAGGAAGGGGUAAAAUCCUUUGAUCUAUGGAUGACCACCUGUGGCGAAGGCGGUCUACCAGAACACGUCCGACGGUGAGGGAUGAAAGCUGGGGGAGCAAACCGGAUUAGAUACCCGGGUAGUCCCAGCUGUAAACUAUGCAAACUCAGUGAUGCAUUGGCUUGUGGCCAGUGCAGUGCCGCAGGGAAGCCGUUAAGUUUGCCGCCUGGGAAGUACGUACGCAAGUAUGAAACUUAAAGGAAUUGGCG
rnacentral:rRNA from 1 species